CGAACCCUAGCCCUAUAAAUCCAAGAACACAACCGGAGAACGCGAGCGACCGCGGCGGAAAGCAUGAGAGCAAAGUGGAAGAAGAAACGAAUGAGGAGGCUCAAGAGGAAGCGACGAAAGAUGAGACAGAGAUCUAAGUAGGCCAUUGUGGCAGGAGAGUCAUCGAUUUGUUUCCAAGUAACCGCCGUGCUUUGCUUUGUGUUCGCCUAUUUGCUUAAGUUAAUGGUUUCGAUAUGUUUAACAUUUGGAGUAUGUUUUUAAUCUCUGUGUCUGCUCUUCUAUAAUUAUAAUUGAAGGAGAUUAUUAUUUAUCAUUCAUUUUUUUUAAUAUUUCUAAUCUAUCAUUUUACAAAUGUACGUAAAUACCAUGUUUUCCUCGUCGUCGUCGGACGGCGUCGAGGGAGAGGGCGGCGAGCGGGGUUGGACGUGUCUAACUGCGUAGGUGACGAGUGUGGCGUUGGCAUAUUGAUUUGUAAAAAAAGACUUGUGAAUAGUUGUCAACCAGAGGGAUUUUGUUCUUGACAAAUGCCAUACGACACCGGGGUUGAAGAUAGGAAGAAAUUGGUAUUUGGUGACAUCAUGUCGUGCUGUCGGGAAUUCAACCCGGCAGAGACCGAUGAGCAAGCGAGUGCUGCGUUGUCAAAAGCUCCCAUAAGAUUGAUUGGUGGUGGACGGGGCAAAUGUUCCCCUGCCCACGAUGAAACUUGUCCUGGUCGAUGUGCGCGGCCGAUGGUGGGACCCACUGUCCGUGACAUGCCAAUGAAUGAAUCAUCCGAUGA